UGGUCGCUGCAGCCGGCGCCGCCGCCGCUCCGGGAGCAUGAAGGACCGAACCCAGGAGCUCCGCACGGCCAAAGACAGUGACGAUGACGAUGAGGUCACAGUCACCGUGGACCGGGACCGGUUCAUGGAUGAGUUCUUCGAGCAGGUAGAGGAGAUCCGGGGCUUCAUUGACAAGAUUGCUGAGAAUGUGGAGGAGGUGAAGCGGAAGCACAGCGCCAUCCUGGCUUCCCCCAACCCGGACGAGAAGACAAAAGAGGAGCUGGAAGAACUCAUGGCAGACAUAAAGAAGACAGCAAACAAAGUUCGCUCCAAGUUAAAGAGUAUAGAACAGAGCAUCGAGCAGGAGGAAGGCCUGAACCGUUCUUCUGCGGACCUAAGGAUCCGCAAGACACAGCACUCCACAUUGUCCCGGAAGUUUGUGGAGGUCAUGUCCGAAUACAACGCCACACAGUCCGACUACCGAGAGCGCUGCAAGGGUCGCAUCCAGAGGCAGCUAGAGAUCACCGGCAGGACCACCACCAGUGAGGAGCUGGAGGACAUGCUGGAAAGCGGGAACCCCGCCAUCUUUGCUUCUGGGAUCAUCGUGGACUCCAGCAUCUCCAAGCAGGCUCUGAGUGAGAUCGAGACCCGGCACAGUGAGAUCAUUAAGCUGGAGAGCAGCAUCCGGGAGCUGCAUGACAUGUUCAUGGACAUGGCUAUGCUCGUGGAGAGCCAGGGUGCUAGCCCGAAGCCCUGCCCUGAGGAGCCAGCCCUGGAGCUGCAACCCGGGCUUUGCAGGGGGAGAUGAUUGACAGGAUCGAGUACAACGUGGAACACGCAGUGGACUACGUGGAACGGGCCGUGUCUGACACCAAGAAGGCUGUCAAGUACCAGAGCAAGGCCCGCCGGAAGAAGAUCAUGAUCAUCGUGUGCUGCGUGAUUCUGGGCAUCGUCAUCGCCUCCACCUUUGGGGGCAUCUUUGCAUAGGAGCCGCCACCUGCCACAUCACCCUGGAUGGCUCCCCCUGGCAGCCCUGGCCACAGCCUUCUCUACCCACCUCACCUCUGGCUCGGAGCACCCCCACUGCCCCCGUCUGAGCCGUGUUGUGUGCAUGAUCUUGUGACUGUGUGUCUGUGCAGAGGAGCGGCCAGAGCUGUGCAAGGCAGCCCCAGGUCCCCCCAGGCUUUCCCAGGCUGCCCUCCCUAUACAGGUGGGGCUGGCCUAUGGGCAUGUCACCCAUCCUCAGGCUCGGGGUCUGCCCUGACCUGGAGCCCAGGCUCUGCGGACCCCAACCUUGCUUCUCCCCUCCUUACCUUGGCCUCUCCAACUGUUCCUCCCACCCAGCCUCAUAGAGGGCGGCCUGGCUGGCCUCAUGGUGCUGCUUGUUCUGGCUGGGGGAGGGGCGGCUCCAAAAGCUCCAGCACCAGGCCUCUGCCAGCUGCCACGAGGUUCAGGGGUGCUGUUGCUGGCCUGUGAGGACCAGGCUCCUCCUCCCCCCUGGGCCAAGCCUCUGGCCUCCAUCUCCCUCCCCACAUCCUAGAAACAACCCUGGGGCUGGGCCCGAGCUGGGGUGGUGCAGGCCAGCGUCACAUGUUUGGGAUGCUGGUCCCAGUGUCACGCCAGGCCUGGCCUCACCCUGCCCUUGCCGUCGCCAUUGCUGUGCCAAUGCCACGUGGCUUCAGGUGUCCUGGAUGCAGUAUUAAGCAGCCAGCCAGGGGGCGCCACCCCAUCCUGGGGCUCCCAGUCCAAACGUGCCCCAACCCCAGGCCCCCUCUCGUUGACAGGCCAGGAGUGUGCAUGCACGCUCAUGCAGGGGGACCGGCCCCGCCUGGGCCGCCGCCCCUCAGCUUUGCUCCUGCCUGGUGCCUGUGACCACUGUCCGUGUUGCCUUCUCAGCCCUUCCCUGCCACCUCCACCAAAGGUCUUGGUACAACCAGCUGCCCAUUUUGUGAAUUUUUAUGUAGAAUAAACAUUUGUAUCUGUAGCUACCUCUGUGCUACCAUUCUCUCUGCAGAACCCUGGCCUCAGGGCUUGGGGACAUGAAGGACAUUGAGAAGGAGCUCAGGCAAAGAGCCUGACUGCCCUCAUGCGCUGGAGCACAUGCGCGAGGAGCACCUUUCAGUCCCUGGCCCUGCCUUGGCCUACCCUGUCCCCCAAGCCCUAGUUGUGCUCUAUGCCUGUGACCCUGCACCACCAUGCCAUCUGUGCUUUCCCUGGACACCUCCCAGACAGGCUGCUCCUCAC